rnacentral:rRNA from 1 species
GAACGCUGGCGGCAUGCCUAACACAUGCAAGUCGAACGAACCUUCGGGUUAGUGGCGCACGGGUGAGUAACGCGUGGGAACUUGCCUAUCAGUACGGAAUAACGCCGGGAAACUGGUGCUAAUACCGUAUACGUCCUCAGGGAGAAAGAUUUAUCGCUGAUAGAUGGGCCCGCGUUAGAUUAGCUAGUUGGUGGGGUAAUGGCCUACCAAGGCGACGAUCUAUAGCUGGUCUGAGAGGAUGAUCAGCCACACUGGAACUGAGACACGGUCCAGACUCCUACGGGAGGCAGCAGUGGGGAAUAUUGGACAAUGGGGGAAACCCUGAUCCAGCAAUGCCGCGUGAGUGAAGAAGGCCUUAGGGUUGUAAAACUCUUUCGGCGGGGAAGAUGAUGACGGUACCCGCAGAAGAAGCCCCGGCUAACUCCGUGCCAGCAGCCGCGGUAAU